CGAGAGGGUUCGCGAGAACUCCCCAAACCCGCUGUGAACGUACCUGAUGGUCUGCCUCGGCAGGCGGUCCCCGGGGGGACCCCAAGCCCGCCUUCGGGCGGGUGCCUGCCGCAAGUCCACUGUAAACUCUGCUGUACUAGUCGUCUGAGAACAAGAAGCCCGCUGGAAAGCGGUGCAAAUCUAGUUA
rnacentral:misc_RNA from 1 species